CCUCCAGCGUCGGGAUGUGAGCCACCAGCAAGGAGGGACACCAAUAAGGCGUCUGAUAAGAUAAUGAAAAUUAUCAUCACUAUUCCUUCUGCAAGUCCCCAGAUUGAAGGUUCAAGAGUAACACCCCAGAAGACUGUCUUUGCUGGCAAGGAAUUUAUUUGGAGCAGUUUCCACUUGAAACUUGAAGUAGCUGCUUCAAGAUGAGGCUGAUCCAGUAAGAACCCUUUGUAACAGCCAUUUCCUCCUGCUGUGUAUUUGCUGCCAUUGCGAGUCCUUUGGAGUAUUUUACCUGGAGUGCUGUUAAUGUUCUUCAAAAUAUGACCUGUCCAUCAGAUGUGGCUAAAUGAAACUAUCACAAAAACUAAAUCUACAGAUUCAACAAAUAUCAAGCAUCAGCUUGGAGAGUAAUGCACUGAGUUAUAAGAAUAAGUUGAUAAAUUUAUCAAUUGUCUCAUUUAUAUGUGUCGCAAUCUGAUUUGUAGGAAACCCAUGAAUUGGUUCUGAUAUAUAUAUAUAUAUAUAUAUAUAUAUAUAUAUAUAUAUAUAUUCACAUUUCUAUGAAUAAGUUAGGACCUCCCAAUCUAUCCUGGAUAUCCAGUCUAAGUGAAUCCAUGAGGAGGAUACUCUUUCCAACAAUAUCUUGAUACAUACAAGAAGUACUUCUAGUCUCAAGAACGUAUUAUAACAGCUAGGAAGAAUUCAACAAAACGUUGCUAAUAUGCACCUCUUUAUUUACCUGAGUUGAAACAUCUAUACUGAUUCAAACACACUUCAUUUUUAAACUGCACAAAGCAUGAAGUCCUAGCCUGGUAACUUGAAAUUGGAUUCUUCAGCAACAGAAUCCACUGGCUUUUAGUUCACAUCAUAAUCAGUGUGCUGUGUUCCUCACAAGGUGGUCUUUUAUCUGUUAUGUAACAUUCAUCCUACUGAACAUUAAAUAUUGCAUGGCAUAUCAAGCAAUCUGACUGGAACAAUUACUGGUGCUAUACACAUUCCAGGGUCUCUAUUUGUCAAAAAGUUAAUAUUUUUAAAGAUAAAAUGACUUUAAUAUAUAUAUAUGUGUGUGUGUGUGUGUGUAUGUGUGUGUGUGUGUAUAGUCUCCUAAUUAGCUGGCAGUCAGUGCUCAACUUCUGAUUUUAGCUCUGCAGGGUCCUUGUAGAUGUUAUUAUUGCAAAGAGAAAUCAAAAAUCAAAGUGAAUCCUUAGUGUCACUCUUGAAGCAAUAGAGGUGCAAUUGCUGAAAUAGCAGCCAAGCAUUGUGCAAUACAACUAACUCACAGCUUGGUGCAAUGUCCCCACUGAGAGGGAAAUGUAGGGGAACUGCCAGAGUUUUACUACAUCUGCUCCCUGCUGCUAAUGAGCUUUAACCUGUUUCAUUCUUAUUAUGCUUACUGUUUAGAUAUUUUGCUUGCAAAAUUAAUUCUAUAGCUGGGAGAACACUUGAGAGAGGAUAUGAUUUGUAAUAUAGGUCUGUUUAAAAAUUGGAAAGUAUCAGCAAGGGAGAUUAAAGGCUCUAAUGAGUGAUGUGUUACUUAAUAUCAAUUCAAGGACAUAAACUCAGGUGGUACAACUAAUGCUGUUUCUCAGUUUUUUGUCCUCCUGAGAUAUGGGCUGAUGCUGUAGGAGACAUUGUCUUUGUUCUGCAUUCGACAUCUGCACUGGGUGUGUGUGUGUGUGUGUGUGUGUGUCUGUCUGUCUGUCUGUCUGU
rnacentral:lncRNA from 1 species